rnacentral:rRNA from 1 species
CCUACGGGUGGCAGCAGUGGGGAAUAUUGGACAAUGGGCGAAAGCCUGAUCCAGCCAUGCCGCGUGUGUGAAGAAUGCCUUCGGGUUGUAAAGCACUUUCAGUGGGGAAGAAAGCCUUGGGGCUAAUACCCUCGAGGAAGGACAUCACCCACAGAAGAAGCACCGGCUAACUCCGUGCCAGCAGCCGCGGUAAUACGGAGGGUGCGAGCGUUAAUCGGAAUUACUGGGCGUAAAGCGCGCGUAGGCGGUCUGAUAAGCCGGUUGUGAAAGCCCCGGGCUCAACCUGGGAACGGCAUCCGGAACUGUCAGGCUAGAGUGCAGGAGAGGAAGGUAGAAUUCCCGGUGUAGCGGUGAAAUGCGUAGAGAUCGGGAGGAAUACCAGUGGCGAAGGCGGCCUUCUGGACUGACACUGACGCUGAGGUGCGAAAGCGUGGGUAGCAAACAGGAUUAGAUACCCGUGUAGUC